GACGAACGCUGGCGGCGUGCUUAACACAUGCAAGUCGAGCGGUAAGGCCUCUUCGGGGGUACACGAGCGGCGAACGGGUGAGUAACACGUGGGUGACCUGCCCUCAGCUCUGGGAUAAGCCUGGGAAACUGGGUCUAAUACCGGAUAUGACCACAUGUUGCAUGGUGUGUGGUGGAAAGUUUUUUCGGCUGGGGAUGGGCCCGCGGCCUAUCAGCUUGUUGGUGGGGUGAUGGCCUACCAAGGCGACGACGGGUAGCCGGCCUGAGAGGGCGACCGGCCACACUGGGACUGAGACACGGCCCAGACUCCUACGGGAGGCAGCAGUGGGGAAUAUUGCGCAAUGGGCGGAAGCCUGACGCAGCGACGCCGCGUAGGGGAUGACGGCCUUCGGGUUGUAAACCUCUUUCGACCGGGACGAAGCGUAAGUGACGGUACCGGUAGAAGAAGCACCGGCCAACUACGUG
rnacentral:rRNA from 1 species